GAUGUACUCCCUCCGUCCGAAAAUACUUGUCAUAUGAAUGGAUGUAUCUAGAUGUAUUUUAAUUCUAGAUACAUCCACUUUUAUUCGUUUGUGUGACAAGUAAUUCCGGACGGAGGGAGUAACAU
rfam:Hordeum vulgare subsp. vulgare, WGS project CAJW01000000 data, contig: morex_contig_62345